rnacentral:rRNA from 3 species
GCUGAUGCGUUGUUGGGUAGGGGAGCGUUCUGUAAGCCUGUGAAGGUGGCCUGUGAGGGUUGCUGGAGGUAUCAGAAGUGCGAAUGCUGACAUAAGUAACGAUAAAGCGGGUGAAAAGCCCGCUCGCCGGAAGACCAAGGGUUCCUGUCCAACGUUAAUCGGGGCAGGGUGAGUCGACCCCUAAGGCGAGGCCGAAAGGCGUAGUCGAUGGGAAACGGGUUAAUAUUCCCGUACUUGGUGUUACUGCGAAGGGGGGACGGAGAAGGCUAUGUUGGCCGGGCGACGGUUGUCCCGGUUUAAGCGUGUAGGUGUGUGUUCCAGGUAAAUCCGGUUCACUUUAACACUGAGGCGUGAUGACGAGGCACUACGGUGCUGAAGCAACAAAUGCCCUGCUUCCAGGAAAAGCCUCUAAGCAUCAGGUAACAUCAAAUCGUACCCCAAACCGACACAGGUGGUCAGGUAGAGAAUACCAAGGCGCUUGAGAGAACUCGGGUGAAGGAACUAGGCAAAAUGGUGCCGUAACUUCGGGAGAAGGCACGCUGACAC